GACUAAAUCAAGCUUGUGACUCUACGAACUUGUUGGAUGCGUUUUGCUGUUUGUUUUGUUUGUGUUUCGCAUUAUUUUGUGCCCAAUAGAAAUGAAGAGUAAAUAAUGUAUUGUGUCAUUUUGGAGUCACUUUUAUUGUAAAUGAGAACAGAAUACGUCUUGGGGGUAUAUUUGUGCGUCUGUAACUUUCUCAGUCGUCAUUAUUCAACAGUAAAAAAAAAAUGCUAAACAAAACAAACAGCAAAACGCAUCCAACAAGUUCGUAGAGUCACAAGCUUGAUUUAGUCAUUAGGUGCUGUGAAUAUGGGACAAAAAACUUCUACUACUUUAACACAUAUAUAAGUGUGAAUUUGUCCCAAUACUUUUGGUCCUCUAAAAUGGAGGGGUACUAUGUACAACAAAAUGCUAUAAUUUCUAAAUGGUUCGCCCGCUUUGGAUGAAGAUUACCUUCAAAUUAAAGCUGACAGUCAGCACUUUAACCCCAUAGUCAUUGUUUGAUUUCAAAUCCAAAGUGCUGGAGUACAGAGCCAAAACAACAAAUAUUUUUUUUAUUUAUUUAACCUUUAUUUAACUACGCAAGUCAGUUAAGAACAAAUUCUUAUUUACAUAUAAUGUGUCACUGUCCCAAUACUUUUGGUGCUCACUGUAUAUAAACACACAAAAACACACACAGAAGCACUGACGAAAUGAAGUGAGUAACACACGGACACACACAUAUUUGGUCUUGAUACAAAAAUUGGAAAUAACAUUGGUACAGCCCAUCACCACCUUCUAGUGGUAAACUACAUCUAAAACAGUAACUAUCAUAGAGAAUGAUAGAGGCCUCUGGUGGUAAACUACAUCUAAAACAGAACCCAAUUAGUUCACCACCAUAGAGAAUGAUAGAGGCCUCUGGUGGUAAACUACAUCUAAAACAGAACCCAAUUAGUUCACCACCAUAGAGAAUGAUAGAGGCCUCUGGUGGUAAACUACAUCUAAAACAGAACCCAAUUAGUUCACCACCAUAGAGAAUGAUAGAGGCCUCUAGUGGCCAAAAGGCCGUUUUAACAUAGACAGUGCCAUUGAGGGCUUACGCCAUUUUAAAGUAGUCAAAGUAGUCAACUGGGUGGGGAUUCCUAUGAGUUGUAGCCUCAAUGGUGCUGCCCAUGCUGUUACAGACGGUAUAAUGGCACAGAUAGUUUUAUGUGCAAUACAUACUGUAGGGAAUAGGGUGCCAUGUCGGACACAGCCCCAGUUUUUAUGUGGGUGACCCUACUAAACUCUCAUUAGUCACUAGGACUCUACUGUAACUCUCGUUGGUCACCGGCCUGUUUGACAGCCAUCGGAUAGAAAGGAGUUGGUAACCAGGGUAACGUACACUCGCGGCCACCAGGUGGUGCAGCUGGUCUAAAGUAUAAUCUCCUCUGGCCUUCUCUUUGUGUACAGUCUGAGUAGGACCAGGAGGUAUCCCUGUCUUUAAUGUCUGGGUAGGACCAGGAGGUUUUCCUGUCUAUAAUGUCUGGGUAGGACCAGGAGGUUUUCCUGUCUAUAAUGUCUGGGUAGGACCAGGAGGUUUUCCUGACUAUAAUGUCUGGGUAGGACCAGGAGGUUUUCCUGACUAUAAUGUCUGGGUAGGACCAGGAGGUUUUCUUAUCUGACCAGGGGAAACUCUAGGCCCUCCAGGUUACACUAGUAGUGACUAUCCUAUAGCUGAACCAGUCCCCCCCCCUUAUCUAACCUAUCCCCUAUCUCA
rnacentral:lncRNA from 1 species